rnacentral:lncRNA from 1 species
UGUCUGUAAACUGUAACUAGCCUGGGGAGAGACAUGUUGUCUGUAACCUGUAACUAGCCUAGGGAGAGACAUGUUGUCUGUAAACUGUAACUAGCCUGGGGAGAGACAUGUUGUCUGUAACCUGUAUCUAGCCUAGGGAGAGACAUGUUGUCUGUAACCUGUAACUAGCCUGGGGAGAGACAUGUUGUCUGUAACCUGUAACUAGCCUGGGGAGAGACAUGUUGUCUGUAACCUGUAACUAGCCUAGGGAGAGACAUGUUGUCUGUAACCUGUAUCUAGCCUAGGGAGAGACAUGUUGUCUGUAACCUGUAACUAGCCUGGGGAGGGACAUGUUGUCUGUAACCUGUAACUAGCCUAGGGAGAGACAUGUUGUCUGUAACCUGUAACUAGCCUAGGGAGAGACAUGUUGUCUGUAACCUGUAACUAGCCUAGGGAGAGACAUGUUGUCUGUAACCUGUAACUAGCCUAGGGAGAGACAUGUUGUCUGUAACCUGUAACUAGCCUGGGGAGAGACAUGUUGUCUGUAACCUGUAACUAGCCUAGGGAGAGACAUGUUGUCUGUAACCUGUAACUAGCCUGGGGAGAGACAUGUUGUCUGUAACCUGUAACUAGCCUGGGGAGAGACAUGUUGUCUGUAACCUGUAACUAGCCUGGGGAGAGACAUGUUGUCUGUAACCUGUAACUAGCCUAGGGAGAGACCUGGCUGGCUUGCUUUAUUUAAAUGAAUGUAAUACACAUUGUUAUAUCCUUCUGGUUAAAUCCCAAAUGGCACCCUAUUCCCUACAUAGUGCACUACUUUUGACCAGGUCCCAUAGUGCUCUGUUCAAAAGUAGUGCACUUUAUAGGGAAUAGGGUGCCAUUUGGGCCAAAUAUAGGAUAAUUUGACUGUAGCCUUCUGCGUUGAGCAGAGACAACUUUUUCCUUGUUGGCACUUUAUCUGUUGGUUAGUAGGUGUUAUUAUAUUAUUGAACCUCUGGAGCCAUACGCUAUUGGGUUAGUCAGGCUGAUCAGCAAGUCUCAAUAAGGUGUUGGGAUCAACAAGUCUCAAUAAGGUGUUGGGAUCAACAAGUCUCAAUAAGGUGUUGGGUUAGUCAGACUGAUCAGCAAGUCUCAAUAAGGUGUUGGGUUAGUCAGGCUGAUCAACAAGUCUCAAUAAGGUGUUGGGAUCAACAAGUCUCAAUAAGGUGUUGGGAUCAACAAGUCUCAAUAAGGUGUUGGGUUAGUCAGGCUGAUCAACAAGUCUCAAUAAGGUGUUGGGUUAGUCAGACUGAUCAGCAAGUCUCAAUAAGGUGUUGGGUUAGUCAGGCUGAUCAACAAGUCUCAAUAAGGUGUUGGGUUAGUCAGGCUGAUCAGAAAGUCUCAAGCCUCAAACACCUUAGUAAUAUAUUCUGUCCAUGGACUCAUGUUACUCAUUUUCACUGGGGGGUGCGUCCCAAAUGUCAACUCAUUCUACAUUUGACCAGGGCCCAUAUGGGGGAAUAGGAAGUCAUUAAUGACCAGGGCCCAUAUGGGGGAAUAGGAAGUCAUUAAUGACCAGGGCCCAUAUGGGGGAAUAGGAAGUCAUUAAUGACCAGGGCCCAUAUGGGGGAAUAGUGUGUUCUCAGAAGGUGAAGCCAGUAGUGGCCUACUGGGCCGAGGCUUUGAUGUUGCUUUCCUGUGGCGUUACUUCUUUAUUUUAUCCUUGGUGGGGUUUAUUUUAUGUAAAUCAAGGAGACGUGCUUUUGAUUUGUCUGUUGAGUGUAAGGGGUUGUCCCAAAUGUCACCCUAUUCCCUAUGUAGUGCAUUACUAUGGGCCCUAUUCCCUAUGUAGUGCGCUACUAUGGGCCCUAUUCCCUAUGUAGUGCGCUACUAUGGGCCCUAUUCCCUAUGUAGUGCGCUACUAUGGGCCCUAUUCCCUAUGUAGUGCGCUACUAUGGGCCCUAUUCCCAAUGUAGUGCGCUACUAUGGGCCCUAUUCCCUAUGUAGUGCGCUACUAUGGGCCCUAUUCCCUAUGUAGUGCGCCACUAUGGGCCCUAUUCCCUAUGUAGUGCGCCACUAUGGGCCCUAUUCCCUAUGUAGUGCGCUACUGUGGGCCCUAUUCCCUAUGUAGUGCUCUACUAUGGGCCCUAUUCCCUAUGUAGUGCUCUACUAUGGGCCCUAUUCCCUAUGUAGUGCUCUACUAUGGGCCCUAUUCCCUAUGUAGUGCACUAUAAAUGGAAUAAGGUGCCAUUAGGGAGACAAGCCAUCUCAGAACAUACGCUGUUAAACCAUUGAGUACAUAACUGUGCUGUUACAUAUUUAUAUAAUUUGUAAGUAUGCAUAUUGUAAUUAUUUUAUAUUUGUAUACAUGCACUAGUUUAUAAGUGUGCAUUAUUUUUUCGGGACAUGAAUCAAACUGACGUGUAAAAAAGUUGAAAAAAAUAAAGUACUUUUUUUGUUAACCUGUCUCUGUCUGUUUGUCUGGUCUGUUUGUCUGGUCUGUUUGUCUGGUCUGUUUGUCUGGUCUGUUUGUCUGGUCUGUUUGUCUGGUUUGGUCUGUCUGGUCUGUCUGUCUGGUCUGGUCUGUUUGUCUGGUUUGGUCUGUUUGUCUGGUUUGGUCUGUCUGGUCUGUCUGUCUGGUCUGUCUGUGUCUGGUUUGGUCUGUUUGUCUGGUCUGUCUGUCGAUCUUUGGCCAGGAUUCAAUCCAAGGCACGUUACAGGUCGACACUCUAAACAGCCGACAACGCUCCUCUAAAGGCAAUGUCCCCAGCGUUCACGGAGAUCACAUUCAUG